CCUACGGGCGGCAGCAGUGGGGAAUAUUGGUCAAUGGACGAGAGUCUGAACCAGCCAAGUAGCGUGAAGGAUGACUGCCCUAGGGUUUUUAAACUUCUUUUAUAUGGGAGUUAAACAGGGUAUGCAUACCCUCUUCUAUGUACCAUUUGAUGAAGGAUCGGCUAACUCCGUGCCAGCAGCCGCGGUAAUACGGAGGCUCCGAGCGUUAUCCGGAUGUAGGGGGUGUAAAGGGUGCGUAGGCGGAUUGUUAAGUCAGUUGUGAAAGUUUGCGGCUUAACCGUAAAAUUGCAGUUGAAACUGGGAGUCUAGAGUACAGUAGAGGUGGGUGGAAUUCGUGGUGUAGCGGUGAAAUGCUUAGAUAUCAAGAAGAAUACUGAUUGCGAAGGCAACCCACUGGA
rnacentral:rRNA from 1 species